rnacentral:rRNA from 1 species
GAUGAACGCUAGCGGCAGGCCUAACACAUGCAAGUCGAGGGGUAACAGAGGUAGCUUGCUACUUGCUGACGACCGGCGCACGGGUGCGUAACGCGUAUACAGUCUUACCUUUUACUGGGGGAUAGCCUUUAGAAAUGAAGAUUAAUACCCAUAGUAUUACCGGUUCGCAUGGACUGGUAAUUAAAGAUUACGGUAAAAGAUGAGUAUGCGUCCUAUUAGCUAGAUGGAGUGGUAACGGCACACCAUGGCAACGAUAGGUAGGGGCCCUGAGAGGGGGAUCCCCCACACUGGUACUGAGACACGGACCAG